UACAGAGGAGGCAAGCGUUGUUCGGAAUCACUGGGCUUAAAGCGCGUGUAGGCGGCGCGAUAAGUGUUCUGUGAAAUCCCACGGCUCACCCGUGGAACUGCAGGGCAUACUGUCGUGCUUGAGGCAGGUAGGGGCCACUGGAACUCUCGGUGGAACGGUGAAAUGUGUAGAUAUCGAGAGGAACGCCCGAGGCGAAAGCGG
rnacentral:rRNA from 1 species